rnacentral:rRNA from 1 species
CCUACGGGAGGCAGCAGUAGGGAAUCUUCCGCAAUGGGCGAAAGCCUGACGGAGCAACGCCGCGUGAGUGAUGAAGGUCUUCGGAUCGUAAAACUCUGUUAUCAGGGAAGAACAAAUGUGUAAGUAACUGUGCACAUCUUGACGGUACCUGAUCAGAAAGCCACGGCUAACUACGUGCCAGCAGCCGCGGUAAUACGUAGGUGGCAAGCGUUAUCCGGAAUUAUUGGGCGUAAAGCGCGCGUAGGCGGUUUUUUAAGUCUGAUGUGAAAGCCCACGGCUCAACCGUGGAGGGUCAUUGGAAACUGGAAAACUUGAGUGCAGAAGAGGAAAGUGGAAUUCCAUGUGUAGCGGUGAAAUGCGCAGAGAUAUGGAGGAACACCAGUGGCGAAGGCGACUUUCUGGUCUGUAACUGACGCUGAUGUGCGAAAGCGUGGGGAUCAAACAGGAUUAGAUACCCUGGUAGUCCACGCCGUAAACGAUGAGUGCUAAGUGUUAGGGGGUUUCCGCCCCUUAGUGCUGCNGCACGCAUAGACACUCCGCCGUCGGGAGGUACGACCCGACCGACGGUUAGUAACGUACGAAAGGAAAGUUAGUACGGACGUAGAGACGUUGCCGACGGACGACGACGAGGGAGGAGGG